GAUGAACGCUGGCGGCGUGCCUAAUACAUGCAAGUCGAGCGAACGGACGAGAAGCUUGCUUCUCUGAUGUUAGCGGCGGACGGGUGAGUAACACGUGGAUAACCUACCUAUAAGACUGGGAUAACUUCGGGAAACCGUAGCUAAUACCAGAUAAUAUUUUGAACCGCAUGGUUCAAAAGUGAAAGACGGUCUUGCUGUCACUUAUAGAUGGAUCCGCGCUGCAUUAGCUAGCUGGUAAGGUAACGGCUUACCAAGGCAACGAUGCAUAGCCGACCUGAGAGGGUGAUCGGCCACACUGGAACUGAGACACGGUCCAGACUCCUACGGGAGGCAGCAGUAGGGAAUCUUCCGCAAUGGGCGAAAGCCUGACGGAGCAACGCCGCGUGAGUGAUGAAGGUCUUCGGAUCGUAAAACUCUGUUAUUAGGGAAGAACAUAUGUGUAAGUAACUGUGCACAUCUUGACGGUACCUAAUCAGAAAGCCACGGCUAACUACGUG
rnacentral:rRNA from 1 species